rnacentral:rRNA from 1 species
GUGGGGAAUAUUGGACAAUGGGCGAAAGCCUGAUCCAGCCAUGCCGCGUGAAUGAUGAAGGCCUUAGGAUUGUAAAAUUCUUUCACCGGGGACGAUAAUGACGGUACCCGGAGAAGAAGCCCCGGCUAACUUCGUGCCAGCAGCCGCGGUAAUACGAAGGGGGCUAGCGUUGCUCGGAAUUACUGGGCGUAAAGGGAGCGUAGGCGGAUAGUUUAGUCAGAGGUGAAAGCCCAGGGCUCAACCUUGGAAUUGCCUUUGAUACUGGCUAUCUUGAGUAUGGAAGAGGUAUGUGGAACUCCGAGUGUAGAGGUGAAAUUCGUAGAUAUUCGGAAGAACACCAGUGGCGAAGGCGACAUACUGGUCCAUUACUGACGCUGAGGCUCGAAAGCGUGGGGAGCAAACAGGAUUAGAAACCCCGGUAGUCC